CCUGUCUCACCAAAACAACCCCAGCUAAGAAGUUCCGUCGGGGGUGGAGGACUUUUUCCAAGCCUUUGUUUCUGUGGAGUCUCUGUGCAUGGCCUGCUGUGAUGAGGUAGGGGUUGACCCAGAAGUCUAAGGAGGCCACCACCCCGUAGGAAAGAGGAGCCAGCAGACAGCAGCGCCGGGGGUUAUUGGGGACCCCCAAAUGGGGAAAGGUAGGGGUGUAGACAAAAUCAGCAGCCCUGUCUGUAUUUGACAAGCAGGGCAAGGAGGAAGAAAGCUCAAGGAGAGCGAUGUGGAGGUGACUCGAUGACAGGGUCAGUGCAGGUGAGGGGAGUGGGCUACCCAUUAAUUCCCAGGAGCAUGGUGGUCUUCCCAGCCCAGCCACACAGCUGCUAAGGGAUCUUGCUUUCUGAGGAGUGUCUCUAAUCGGGGCAUUUGAUUUACAGCAGCAUUUCUGGGCUCCAAUCAGGCAUCUCAUCCACAGAACAUAAACCAGAUUAAGAAGCUCUCUGAAGCAUAUUUGAAGUCAGUGACAGUUGAAAGGAUAUUAAAGUUUUGACUUCAAACUAGCUUAGCCAGGGCACACGGAGCAGGCAAUACAGGUCUUCCUCCUGCCAGGAGAACCUUUACCAUUCCCCGUGAAGGUCAGGAUUGUUGGUUCAGGUGCGGGGACAAGGUGGGGUGGACUCCUACGCAAAAUAAUCUGUGUUGGUGGCAAUGUCAGGUGAUCCUCCAGCAGCUCAGGAAAAAUAAACUCUUCCUAUGGCCGUUUCUUUUCCCUCGGUUCUGAACGGGAGGAGGACACUGGGAUGCCUGUUUGUGUUCUAUGACUCUAGCCUCUAGGGUCAUUCCUCAGGCCCCAUUGCCAAAGAAAAAUCAUGGCUGUGUUGGUGGUCUCAUCUGGCCUCAUAUUACCAUAGGCUGGCUGGAAGCACAGCUGGGUACAGAGUCUGAUUUUGAACAAAACUGUCACCUCUUUUGUCCCUUGGCAACAUCCCUCAGUGCCACAUAAGGUUUGUUUUUGUGUACCUGAUUCACCAUCUGUCUCAGGGUUAGCAAUCCAAGUUCUGAAAUCAUCUGGGCUUCACAAGCAUGAUUAGCUGUUGAUCUGGCUUCUGUUGACUCUAAACCCCGGGUUGGGGGAUUACAGAUGUACCUAAGCAGCCUGUGCAGUGGGGCCAGACGCCUCCGUGGGUACAGCAUGUCCAGGAUCGUUGCUGUCUGUUGCUGGGCUCACCACCCCAGCAAGGAGGAGGUCACGCAAGGGAACACAGAGCUUGUAGUCAGAAAACAGGGGUGCUUGUCAGGUCACCUCUCUGAACCUCAGAUCUCUCUCGUGUAAGGGGCUGGCCCCUUCGAGAGGCUCAGUGUGGAAUAAAAUGGCUCUUAUCGCAGUGGGCUUGGCAGCCCGCCACUCCUCAUCUUUGCUGGUGGAACCUCUAGUUGGUUUCGGUGUCCACCCUCCUCCACGCUGGGAGUGUGUUCAGGAUGAGGAUCCCAUCCCCGUGCACGGGGUCAAGUCUGAUUGGAGGCGAUCAUUUCUGGCUGUCACAUUCCUUAGACCAGGGCUCAGUCUAGAGCGAGCAAGUAUUUUAGGCCUGGCCAGUGAGGCAAAGAUAAUGCCUGCUGGGGCCUUCUGAAAAAAAUUUCCUUAAAAAGAGGCUCAAAGAAGAGAGAUGUCUCUUUUCUUUGGCUGGACGUUAUUAGGACUAGAUGUGAUGCCUGUGACUACGUGAACCAUCUUGUGAAUGUGACAGCCUGGGGACAGAGCUUGCACACUGGGGAUGCAAG
rnacentral:lncRNA from 10 species